CCCAACCACUCCCACCCUCACCAGAGAAAAAUGCGUGACAGAUUCCUCACCAUAACAUAACCUACAUCCUCAUUUUCCUCCUCAGUAUUUUGGAUAUCAGUGGACGGAGAGGGAUGGUGGUUUGUGGUAUUAAGUUUUAGGUUGAGGUAGUUUUGCACCAGUAUACCAUUCACCGUGGCUACAUGUAUUUUGAUUUUCUAUUUUCCUUUUUUAUUAGCUCUAUAUAUACAGCUACAUCCUCCAUUCCCUCACUCACUCACUCACUCACUCACUAUAUACAGCUACACAGUCCUCCACUCGCUCACUCGCUCACUCACUCUCUCUUCCUCUUCUAUUUCUCUCUCUUAGCUCUCUAGGAUCACUGCCUGUCUCCUUCCUCUCUUUCGCUCCCUCCCCCUCGCUGCCAACGCCUCUCUCUUAGCUCUCUAGACUCACUGCCUCUCUCCUUCCUCUCUUUCCUUCCCUCUCCCUCGUUGCCAACGCCAUUCUCUCUUAGCUCUCUAGACUCACUGCCUCUCCUUUCUCUCUUUCCCUCCCUCCCCCUCGCCGCCAACGCCUCUCUCUCUUAGCUCUCUCUCCCUCCCUCCACCUCGCCCCCAACGCCUUUCUCUCUUAGCUCUCUAGAAUCACUGCUUGUCUCCUUCCUCUUUUUCUCUCCCUCCCCCUCGCCGCCUACGCCUCUCUCUCUUAGCUAUCUAGACUCACUGCCUCUCUCCGUCCUGUCUUUCCCUCACUCCACCUUGCUGCCAACGCCUCUCUCUCUUAGCUCUCUAGACUCACUGCCUCUCUUCUUAGCUCUCUUAGCUCUCUAGACUCACUCCCUCCCCCUUGCUGCCAACGUAUUAUCAUGCAUUAGCUAUAAUUAUCCCUUCCGUUUACACAGCAAUUUUCUUGCUUUUUGUCCUCCUAGACUCCUGUUUAUAUUACCUAACAUUAGGAGCACCGGAGGAUGGGGAGGGAAACGAUAAGCCGGGUCAACAACCAGGCCGCGGCCAUGGCCGUGGUCGACAAGGGCACGGUGGCGGUGGUCAACAAGAUGUCCGCGGCGGUGGUCAAGAAGCUGUUGCUGAACCGGUGGGUGAACUGGAAAUGAAAUUUACCAAAACAACCGUAUGCUUCCAUUUUUUUCAAGCUAUAGCUGUGGCUGUCACUAGAUUUAAUUCUUGUUGGGUUGCAAACAUACCUCAGGAGGAUAGCAUUUUGGUUCCCGGUUUGUGGGCACAGCCGGCACUUUACAGGUUUAACUAAAUUUAUUUUGUUAGGUUUUAGCUUAAAUUUAUUUUCGGCAAAGAUUUUUAUCGAUGCCUAGCACCCUCAUUUUCAGUUGUAAUUUUAGUCUUACCCAUGUAUUAAGCUUAAUAUUAAUAUAAAUGAAUGUUUCGUUUGUUAUUGGA